CUAUCUGGAAAUGUUCACAGAAGAACAAGAAGAUGUUGAUCUUCCUUGCAACCCAGGACAUGGUGGACUUCUACACCAGGUUCCUCCAGGUUGUACUCUGGGGGGAGGAGGAGGACGAGGAGGAACAAGAAUCUGAGGAGGAUGAGAUGGACGGAGAGACCAAGUCCUUGAUGCAGGGGAAGUUCAAGAUGGACAAGG